GAUGAACGCUGGCGGCGUGCCUAAUACAUGCAAGUCGAGCGAACGGACGAGAAGCUUGCUUUUCUGAUGUUAGCGGCGGACGGGUGAGUAACACGUGGAUAACCUACCUAUAAGACUGGGAUAACUUCGGGAAACCGGAGCUAAUACCGGAUAAUACUUUGAACCGCAUGGUUCAAAAGUGAAAGACGGUCUUGCUGUCACUUAUAGAUGGAUCCGCGCUGCAUUAGCUAGUUGGUAAGGUAACGGCUUACCAAGGCAACGAUGCAUAGCCGACCUGAGAGGGUGAUCGGCCACACUGGAACUGAGACACGGUCCAGACUCCUACGGGAGGCAGCAGUAGGGAAUCUUCCGCAAUGGGCGAAAGCCUGACGGAGCAACGCCGCGUGAGUGAUGAAGGUCUUCGGAUCGUAAAACUCUGUUAUUAGGGAAGAACAUAUGUGUAAGUAACUGUGCACAUCUUGACGGUACCUAAUCAGAAAGCCACGGCUAACUACGUGCCAGCAGCCGCGGUAAUACGUAGGUGGCAAGCGUUAUCCGGAAUUAUUGGGCGUAAAGCGCGCGUAGGCGGUUUUUUAAGUCUGAUGUGAAAGCCCACGGCUCAACCGUGGAGGGUCAUUGGAAACUGGAAAACUUGAGUGCAGAAGAGGAAAGUGGAAUUCCAUGUGUAGCGGCGAAAUGCGCAGAGAUGUGGAGGAACACCAGUGGCGAAGGCGACUUUCUGGUCUGUAACUGACGCUGAUGUGCGAAAGCGUGGGGAUCAAACAGGAUUAGAUACCCUGGUAGUCCACGCCGUAAACGAUGAGUGCUAAGUGUUAGGGGGUUUCCGCCCCUUAGUGCUGCAGCUAACGCAUUAAGCACUCCGCCUGGGGAGUACGACCGCAAGGUUGAAACUCAAAGGAAUUGACGGGGGCCCGCACAAGCGGUGGAGCAUGUGGUUUAAUUCGAAGCAACGCGAAGAACCUUACCAAAUCUUGACAUCCUUUGACAACUCUAGAGAUAGAGCCUUCCCCUUCGGGGGACAAAGUGACAGGUGGUGCAUGGUUGUCGUCAGCUCGUGUCGUGAGAUGUUGGGUUAAGUCCCGCAACGAGCGCAACCCUUAAGCUUAGUUGCCAUCAUUAAGUUGGGCACUCUAAGUUGACUGCCGGUGACAAACCGGAGGAAGGUGGGGAUGACGUCAAAUCAUCAUGCCCCUUAUGAUUUGGGCUACACACGUGCUACAAUGGACAAUACAAAGGGCAGCGAAACCGCGAGGUCAAGCAAAUCCCAUAAAGUUGUUCUCAGUUCGGAUUGUAGUCUGCAACUCGACUACAUGAAGCUGGAAUCGCUAGUAAUCGUAGAUCAGCAUGCUACGGUGAAUACGUUCCCGGGUCU
rnacentral:rRNA from 1 species